rnacentral:misc_RNA from 1 species
GCCUUCAUCGCUGCCGCCUCGUCAGCAACCCUUGUCUCCGCCAGUCCCGCUUCUCCCAAAGAGGGUUUGGCCUCCGCCGGAUCGAGGAAGUUCACCCCAAGUCUCGACGGCCUGAGAUUCAUCGAGACGCUCGUUACGGCGCACCGCUGAUGUUGAGUCUCUAAGUCGUCGUGAUAUCGAAUAUGUUUGUGCUAAUUUAGUUUCUCAUAUUUGUUUUGAGUUGUAAUGAAGCCAUUUUUGGAUCUUUAAUU